CAUGCAAGUCGAGCGGGCNCCGCAAGGUGUCAGCGGCAGACGGGAGAGUAACACGUGGGAACGUGCCCUUCGGUUCGGAAUAACUCGGGGAAACUCGAGCUAAUACCGAAUACGCCCUUACGGGGAAAGAUUUAUCGCCGAUGGAGCGGCCCGCGUCUGAUUAGCUAGUUGGUGAGGUANCGGCUCACCAAGGCUACGAUCAGUAGCUGGUCUGAGAGGAUGAUCAGCCUCACUGGGACUGAGACACGGCCCAGACUCCUACGGGAGGCAGCAGUGGGGAAUAUUGGACAAUGGGCGCAAGCCUGAUCCAGCCAUGCCGCGUGGAUGAUGAAGGCCUUAGGGUUGUAAAGUCCUUUUAACGUGG
rnacentral:rRNA from 1 species